rnacentral:rRNA from 1 species
ACGUAGGGGGCAAGCGUUGUCCGGAAUCACUGGGUGUAAAGGGUGCUCAGGCGGAUCGGUAAGUCAAGGGUGAAAUUUCAUAGCUUAACUGUGAAUGUGCUUUUGAUACUGUCGGUCUAGAGUUCAGAAGAGGGCAAUGGAAUUCUUGGUGUAGCGGUGAAAUGCGUAGAUAUCAAGAAGAACACCAGUUGCGAAGGCGGUUGCCUGGUCUGUAACUGACGCUCAAGCACGAAAGCGUGGGGAUCAAACAG